rnacentral:rRNA from 1 species
GUCUGCAGUCAUGCCACCCUAAACGCCCGAUUUUGUCUGAUCUUGGAGCUAAGCAGUGUUGAUCCUGGUUAGUACUUGAAUGGGAGACCACCUAGGAAUGCCAGGUGCUGUAGGCA